CGUGGCUGUUAGGGCUUUUAUGUUUCAUGAAGAGAAGAUGACGCGUGGCACGCUGCGAGGCCGUCCGAUCGUGCGCGCCAGUUUUAAUCUUACCCGUCCAGGCUUGUUUUUGUCUUUUAGUAACUUACUCCAGCAUGACCGAUUGACACAAGUUGACAUGUUUAUUUUAAUGAAACAUUUUAUUUAAUGUCACAUGCUGAUUAAUUCCUUGGACCGGACUGGGUUGGGCUUCCUUCACGCGCGCUGUUGACACCCCCUCAU
rnacentral:lncRNA from 1 species